CUUUGAUGCAGGGCCAGGAGCUGAUGUAUGCUGCUAUGCCCAUCAAAGGGGUGCUGGCAAAGACCUUACCUCCAGUCUCACCUCUUUCCUGCUCACCAACGGUUGUCGACGGGGAGACCCAGAAUUAGAUGCUUCGAUGGUGCCAGCACUUGGAGACUUGCAAGACGAUGUGAGGAAGUCCAGACUGACAGAGAAGCUUGAUACUGAUGUCUCUAACCUGCCCGAGCAGCAGAACUGUCAGCCCUGGACAACCGACUGAGUGCUAGUGAGAGCCAGGUAGAUGAGCUGAAGAGAGUGUGAAUGCAGAGAGACCAAAGGUGGCAUUCUAUGCUGAUUUGACUGAUACGGGCCCUUCAACACUAACACUACUCUGAAGUACAGUAACUUCUUCACCAACAUCGGCAAGGGCUACAACCCAGCCACAAGUAGGCUAAUGACUACACUAAACUGGCCACAUGCUGGCACGGGGAGAAUAUUUAGGGGUUCAAAGCAGCGACGCUGAGAGAAACCCAAUUGUAUUUGUUGCCGUUAGCUAUUAUUUAGCCUAGUUUUUUGGCUUGUCAUUUCAGAAUGAUGAAGGUUUUUCUUUAUUUUUUACUAUUUUAUACAAAACUA